AACGAACGCUGGCGGCAUGCCUAACACAUGCAAGUCGAACGAGACCUUCGGGUCUAGUGGCGCACGGGUGCGUAACGCGUGGGAACCUGCCCUUAGGUUCGGAAUAACUCCCCGAAAGGGGUGCUAAUACCGGAUAAUGUCUUCGGACCAAAGAUUUAUCGCCUUUGGAUGGGCCCGCGUUGGAUUAGCUAGUUGGUAGGGUAAAAGCCUACCAAGGCGACGAUCCAUAGCUGGUCUGAGAGGAUGAUCAGCCACACUGGGACUGAGACACGGCCCAGACUCCUACGGGAGGCAGCAGUGGGGAAUAUUGGACAAUGGGCGAAAGCCUGAUCCAGCAAUGCCGCGUGAGUGAUGAAGGCCUUAGGGUUGUAAAGCUCUUUUACCCGGGAUGAUAAUGACAGAACCGGGAGAAUGAGCUCCGGCUAACUCCGUG
rnacentral:rRNA from 1 species